UCCGGCUAAAGAAAUCCACUGCAAAUUCAAUAAAUUGGAAAGUUGUUUUUAAGGAAUAAUCCGAAUGCAGAUGUGUAUUAUGUAAGUUUUCAAUGAAAUGGUGAGUCCACUGUAGAAAAAACAAGAGUAUAUUGUGUGAGAACUGGAGCAUAAUAAAAGCAAACCUAUGUAGGUUCCUAUGUGGCGGGGUGGACAGGAAGCCAGUUUAAUGAACAUGCACCUACGCGAUAAUAAGCCCAUCAUGGGCAUGAUGGAGACGAAUGUGGAGUUGGACGACGACAGAUUGGAGUGAAGGAGACAACAAGGACGUGAUGUACCCACCGUAUUCGUCCCUAAAUCAGAUCAGACGACGCAUCAAUUCAAUCCGAUCUGCGGAGGAUCAGUCUGCAUGAACCUGUCGCCCGCUGGAUGCGAGGCACGAAUGGGCUCCUGCUGCCUAAUCCCAACGGCAAAUUAUGCAUGAUUCCGAAUUGGAAUUUAGAUUGUCCAAAUCUAGAUAUGUAUGUGUAUCUCGCUGCCUGUAUUAAUAUUUAUUGUUGAUGACCUGGCGAGAUCAAAGAUGACAAAAUGCCAAAUGCCGCGAUGUGAAAUCCAUCAAAUGUUAAUAAUUGCAGGUUUUAAUGAAUUCAGGCGUAUCAUACGUACGAGUUCUUCUCCGAACUGCCGCCGCCGCGCAUUACUGCCAUGCACACACGGAGGAAUCCUCUUGCCAAUAACGCAGAGUAAUUACUAGGAGCACUUCCAACUGCGCUAAAUAAUGUAUCCCCAAUCCCCAACUUAUAUAUGUACCUUGCCAAUUUUGAAAAUUCCGAGUCUAUUCGAAUUUGUGUAAAUCCAUGAAUGAGGUUUUGCGAAUCUGCUAACUACUUAUUCAGACUGAAUAGGAAAACUUUUUCCUGUAACAUUCGAUUUUGCUAGCCCCAUUAGUUUGUGGCAGUUUUUCGGUAGCAGAUAUAAAAGAUGGUGCCCUUGUUAGCAUCAACAAAAUUGAGAGCGAAGCAAUAAACCUAUCAUUAUCGUAACAAGGAAAAGUUCGACGUCGUCUUCUUAAUAGAAUGAGCAGAUGUUUUUUCAAAGUAAAACCAUAACUUUUGUGAUUCUUGGUUGCCAAAUGAUCAUCACAAUCUCUAAUUUGAGAGAUUUAUUUCAUUUCUAGCUAAAACUUGAGAAAAGGCAAAGAUUAGUGGAAUAAAUGGAUUGAUUGGUAGGUAUCACAUUUAUGAUUCAGUCUUCAUACUCCCGUCAGAACUUUAGUCUCACUUUCAAAUUCCCAGGAUGAUGUGCAAAAUAAGGUGGCUCUCCAAAUCUCAAUCAAGUUUGGUCAUUACAGUCCACCAGCCAAGAAAGAGAGAAACAGAGUGGGGAAUAAGGUGGUAGGAGCAGGGGAAUGUUUAUGAUAUGGCAUAAGUAUCUAUAAACGAUUAUCAUCAUGGUGUCCUUAAUUACAUCCUAGACAGAAGGGAAGAAAUGCUAAACGGUGUAAUGUGCUGUUAGCAAGGCCGGGGUCCUUUAGAUUACUUUGCAUACCGGAUGGUGUGGUUGGAAGUGGUCUCCUAAGAAGAAGAAGAAGACUGGCUCUAUACUUGUCAUUUCAUUGCCAUGCAAUACCACGCCACGAGCUUUCACUCAACAGCAGCGGCUCCCUACUCUCCGCAGAACCUUCAAAUAACUACCAUCACGUCGCAUCCAACAGAUAAUCGUCAAUCUGCAACUUUCUCCAUAAUGACAAAGUCUAUCCACUUCCCGCAAGAUAUGCAGUAUACACACCGCUCCUGGAUACAUAUAACUACGUAGUAACUACUGUUUCAAGCCUGAUAUUUAUUUGCAUAAACCGUAUCAUCCAGUCAGGGUCAUUUCUCUCUUCGGCAACAUAAUAUUUCCUACUAGAAUUAAAAUUGGGACCAUCAAGAAAGUUAAUCCCUCAACGAUUUUAAUAACAAUUCUGACAUUUUCAUUGCUGGUGUCAUUUGAAUAAUUAAAUCUGAGGAAGCUUUGCGAUUUUCUUCUUAUGUCGAUACAAUUGGCACGCCUAGUGAGUUUCUCUUCAAAUUCACGAGUCCUAUGCUACAAUUUUAAGCAGGAUUGUUGUUCUCAGAAUAUAUGUAUAGGAUGUUUAGACUCGAUCCGUCACCCCUGAAUUUCUAUUCAGCCACCUGAAACUUGUGGUAACUCGGUUAAAAUAUGGAAGACUGGUCCCAUAUCCUUUUAAAUGUAAAUUAAACCAGUCGUCUGAGGUCGGUGGGUGGGAGAUUAGGAUUUGCGACAUUCCUUAUCGUAAUGGGUGCCCAUUUCUUGCUUAAGUAGAAGUUUAAUUAAAAAUUAAAUCAAGACCCUCCUAAUUCCAGAGUGGAACUGGAAUUCAAACUCCGUUAGGUGCUAGAAGAAGAACGUAGGACUUUUCUAUCUAACCCGGUUAGUGGGUUAGACUCGGCCAAAACCAACGAACCACCCUCUUCGGCAACCAAGCCAUGUUCCAUUUUGACGAAGAGAACAUAGGAAAUCCCGACCGCAAUGACCACUGAGAUGGAGUAUGGACAGUUUUAUGUAUUAGCACCUUUGAAGAUAUGCGUUGCAUUAGUAAAAUUGAAUCUAAGAUGCAUGUUUAACUAAAAGCGUACGAAUUCUAUACAUUUAGUUCGCUGUAAUAACUAUCAAAAGCAAGUAAAGUAUUUAAAACUCAUGUACAAAUACUUCGCUUCAUACAAAAUUCGAUUAAUCCACUUUCUCUGACGAGUUACAGGGAUAUCUUUAUCCCAACUUUCUCACACCUUAGCAUUUGAGAUUAAUUAAAAGUUUUAAAAUAUUUUAGGAUUGAAUGAUUCUGAAUGAUCAAGAGAAAGAGUUGUGAGAAUUGAUGGAACAAGCAUAUUCGUAUGAAUGAGCUAGUUUCCAAUGGAUUAGACAAUCAAUUGAGCUCAUAUGUACGUAUAUAAUCUCAGAAAACAAUAUCGUAUAGUGUUGUAUCCGUGUUUUACUGAGGCAAAGACUUAACUGACAAUGUGAAAGAAACGUUGGAUGAGUAUUUUUGUGUGAAUCUAUAGUGCAAGUGAUUCUUCCUAGCGUGGCCACUUGCAAAAAGUAAAUGUUAGUUGAACUACUCUUGACACAAAGCUAGCAAACCAUAUAUAUAUUAUCUGAGUGGGCUUUCUCUUUUGGACGCUCGGGUGAUUUGGUUGGUUGUUAACUUUACUUUGUAUAGGAAUCCAGAAAGUUAUGAGAUUUAUGUUGGUUCUCUCUCUAAAUUCUCUCUUUGUGUUGUUGCUUCUGUUCCAGGCACAUUCAAAGGGAAGUGAAAAAAUCGCGUCAUUUUAUGAAAGAAACAUUCAAAAGGAGAGAGUACAAACAAAAAGCCAACAACAAGAUCAGUUCGAAAUUUCUAGGAAAAACGUCUUUUGUCAAGUUUUUCCAGCUGAAGUUAUAUUUGCCUCAAAAUUCAUUCGCAGAAAUGGUUUGCACAAUUAUAAAAUUUCCAAACUAGGGUAAGAUUUGCUGUGGUAUAAAAUAGUAAAUAAUACGCUGCAUGUAUAGAUUAGAAGCUAAUCUCAUUGUCAGAUUUCGAGCCGUUGUCUAUGUCUGCAUUACAAGCCGUAAUUUUUACCCGAAUCACGAGAAUGAUGGUGAAAUUCCAGCUCACUCCAUCCGAAAGCCAUAGUUGCCGCCGAAAAGUUCAAGGAGUUUUCGAAUUGGUGGAGUAGGCGUUGAACGGUGCUGGAGAGAGGGAGACGUCUGUAGUGGACGUGAAAGUUUGUUUGUGAACGUGUCUACGAGAGCCCGGAUAUUGUACAAAGUAAUAAAGUAAUAAUAGUUGAUGUUGAUAGGACGGCGUGACGAAGGUUUUCUCCGCAGCCCUCGUUGCACUACCCACCGAUUGGAUUCUUUCAACCACAAAACUAAGAUUGAGAUUUGGAAUCGGAGGGGUUGGAAGUGGAAGAUCGAUUAAGAUGUGUGCCUCUGAUAGCAGCACCAACGCAUUUUUCAUAUCCAGCUGAAUGACAAGGAACCAAUUCAAUGGUGGAAGGAAACAAUCGUGAUAUUUCAUACAAUGGAAAAUACUCUUUUUCUUAUUUACUUUUCCAACCUCUUCAACCUCUUAUUGAUUUAGGGUAUCUUUGGAACUGUCGGCUCGGCUGCUUGUGUGGUAGGAUGUGCCUUCAUCGUGUCAAGAUUUAACCCACUUUCUUAUCUCUGUUUCAAAACAUGUGCACUAAGGAGUAAUGCGUUACGAAUGAAUGAACCACAGCCUUUGUUAGAGUUAUAUUAGCUAUACGCACAUAAAUACAACUGUAAUUCAUGCCGAAUAAUGGGCGGACCAAGAAGACAAAGGUAUGUAUGCAGCGAAAUGAUGCUCGGCUUAUCCUCCAAACGUGAAAAUUCUUACGAGUAAAUUGUAUUUUCACAUAAUUCGGGUGACUAAAUGAAUUAAUGCGUGCUGGGGAUGGAAACGCUGAAAGGAUAAUGCUGAUAAUGAUACCACAUUUAUAAAAAGCCUUAAUAAUUUGGCAAGUUCAAUAAACAUCAUGUGCAAUAAUUGCACUUGUAGGCAUAUGUGUAUAUAUAUAUGUAGGACAAUAAUUUAUCUGUCUCAGACUCAUCCGUUCAUUUUCUUUAUAAGGAAGACAAGGAACCCAUAUUUUUGCAAAUCUCCAAAAAAUUAUGAAGAAUCCGAAAGCAACCAAUUUCAGCCUCUUCCUUCGUGCUCACAUUUUCUCGCACUCAAGAAAAUCUGAAAUCUCGCAGUUUUACAACACAAGCUCUCGUCCCAUCUCAUCCUAUUUCAUGCACGAAAAAAGAAAAAGCUUUGUGUUCCAGAACUGGAUGACCGACAUGAACAUAAUUCUUCCUCUAGCUAAAAGAUACGACCAUGCAAUUCCGAGGAAGCAGGAUUGCACUAUGAUAUUCCUCCUCGUCAUCUGGGAGAAAACAAGUCAUUCCUAUCAAAUGAAAGUUGGGAGGAAUGGAGGCAACAAGCAUUAGUUAUCUGUUUCACUCUCUGCACGUGGCAGAAACAUAAGGGAAACAUCCAUCAACAAAAAAGCUCACUUUGUUUUGCUGAGAAUGGAAUUCUCGGAGCCUCGCGCAUUGUUUUGGAUACACAAGCUAAUGUUUUACUUUUGUCUACACAUUGUAUUGCAUUGAUGUGAGCUUGUUUUACAAUGAAAACGUUAUUGUGGUUCUUCAGUUUCACAAUACUUUUCAUCAUCAAAUUAUUAUAUGAUACCUCGUUUGUUGUAAUGUACACCUGGAUCUACAUAUGCAGAACAUACAGCGGGAUAUGAAAAACUGGUCAUACGAUUGUUGUAUGCAAAUUCCGAAUGAUAA